CCUACGGGAGGCAGCAGUGGGGAAUAUUGCACAAUGGGGGAAACCCUGAUGCAGCGACGCCGCGUGAGUGAAGAAGCGCCUCGGCGCGUAAAGCUCUGUCAGCAGGAACGACGAGGACGGUACCUGUAGAAGAAGCCCCGGCUAACUACGUGCCAGCAGCCGCGGUAAUACGGAGGGUGCGAGCGUUAAUCGGAAUUACCGGGCGUAAAGCGCUCGUAGGCGGUAGGUCAAGUCAAGGGUGAAAUCCCCUCGCUCAACGUGGGAACUGCCUUUGAAACUGGCAAACUGGAGUGUGUGAGAGGAUAGUGGAAUUCCAGGUGUAGGAGUGAAAUCCGUAGAUAUCUGGAGGAACAUCAGUGGCGAAGGCGACUAUCUGGCACAUAACUGACGCUGAGGAGCGAAAGCGUGGGUAGCAAACAGGAUUAGAUACCCUUGUAGUC
rnacentral:rRNA from 1 species